rnacentral:rRNA from 1 species
CGGGGCACAGCAGGCGAGAAAACUUUACAAUGCGAGCAAUUGAGAUAAGGAAACCUGAGCCUCUCAAUGCAGGCUGUUCAGGUGUCUAACACACACCAGGAGAAAGGGCGGGGCAAGACCGGUUCCAGCCGCCGCGGUAAUACCGGCUGCUCGAGUGAUAGCCACUUUUACUGGGCUUAAAGCGUUCGUAGCUUGGUCGUUAAGUCUCUGGGGAAAUCUUUCGGCUCAACCAAAAGGCGUUUCAGGGAAACUGACGAUCUUGGAACCGGGAGAGGUAAGACGUACUUCGGGGGUAGGAGUGAAAUCUUGUAAUCCCCGAGGGACCACCGAUGGCGAAGGCAUCUUACCAGAACGGAUUCGACAGUGAGGGACGAAAGCCUGGGGGAGCAAACCGGAUUAGAUACCCGGGUAGUCCCAGCCGUAAACGAUGUCCGUUAGGUGUCUCAGUGACCCCGAGUCGCUGACGGUGCCCGAAGGGAAACCUGUGAAA